ensembl:processed_transcript 1810019D21Rik RIKEN cDNA 1810019D21 gene
CAAGGACAGAGCUUCAUACUUGGCCACUCGCAGCAGCCUGAGCUUUGACCCACACCCCAUCGACCAACUGGCACAGAACUGUUUGCUCGUAGAGGGGGGUGGGUGGCACUCUGAAGGCUAUCCAGCACGAUCCGGCCCUUUCCCUUGGCAAUUCUGUGACACUUUCCAAUCUAAGGCCGACAGAGCAAGGCAACCAGAUUUUUUUCUACAGCACCCUCCCAGGUGAGCAGUGGGCCUGGAGCCCUUCUGUAACCUGGCAUCUGUAGGUCUUCUCAUUAAGAACGAGAGUCAGAAGAGGAAAGGACUUAACACUCAUUACAACUCAGUCAUGGGGCUCUGAAGCGUCCCGAGGUCCCCUCUUUCCCACCCUACCUGUCGGCUGCGCGGCUCCACCACUUGCCAAACUAGGAGGAUUAAGUCGGUCUCGUCCGAGCCUAGGUCCGGCCCCAGCGCACCGGCAGUGGCCCCGAACAAAACCACCAGCGACUGAGCAGGCACUCUGAGUCCUCCGCAAAAGAAUGUGCAGGAUCAGAGGCCUCUUUCCAUUCUGCAAGGGUCACGCAAGACCCAUGGAAUUCAACAGGAGGCAAUCUAGGGACUAUAAAAGGUCGCGACGUCUGGCUUGAGGUUAAUGGAAGUUACAAAGGGUCAAAAGCCGACAGUGAGCGCUACCAGGCCGCCCUGUGGGCUCAGGAUAGUUUCCCACCUACUCGACUGUAAUUAGUACUCUGGCGAGAGUAAAAAGGUACUGGCGUGGGACUUAGAAUACAGGAUGCCACCGGCUGAAGAAGAACCUUGUGUGUUUGGAAAAGCGGGCUGCUUCCUAUCGGUCUUGGAUAAAAGGCAACCCAGAGCCCGGGUGCAUCCCUAACUCAUGCCCAAGGAAGGUCGUGCGGAGCCAGAGGACCUAGAAUGUAUAGUGCGCCUUCUGGGUUUGUCCACACAAUA